CCAAAGUCACCUAGUUCUUGCGGAGCGUUAACAGGAUGGGAUUAAAGAGAGGAAAAAAUAGCGCUAAUGGAGGGGGACGAUUGGAAUUCAAGGAGCGGUUAAUCGAGAAGUGGGAGUAGGUCGAGAGGUCAGAGCUAAUCGAGGAGUCGAAGAGUAGAGUUGUAGCGUUGUAGAGUUGCGUGAUUUACUAGCGUAGCUGAGAGGUUGAUUUGUUGGCGUUGUCCAGUUGCCAGAACUUCACUUAUUGAAACGCAAUUUGGUUAGCGUUCGACUCAUUGAAUUCCUGUCGAUUGAAUUCGAUUAUCUGAAAAUGAACUGUACUAUAUGAAAGGAAAAUCAUAGUAGAGAGAAUUGUUGCAGCUUUGCAGGAAAAUGGGUCAACCAGAAAGUAGCCCACCCUAGAAGCAGAAAGGAGACUACCCAGUGUACAAAUACAUCUAGGUGUGCGUACGAGAAUCACGGGCCAUUCGAGCAAAAUAAUGGCGCUAGUGGAAGUGCAUCGGCUAAUUUACGAGUCGACAUGGAUGAAAACACGAGCUCUCCAUUCUACGUAUAUAAGUACUUACACUAUUCAUCGUGGAGAAAUGGCGUCAGUGGAAUACCUCUACGAGGUAGUUCUUUGAAUUCUGAAUCGAAUUCAUUCGUCACACGAGUAUACCUAGACUCUAGACUAGAGGAAUGUUUUCAAAUCUCGUAAUUUUUGUGACAUACGCUACUGUCUAUAAGUAUCUCGGAUAUUUCAUACAAUUCUAUAAGAAGACCGAUGUAUUUGUUAUAUUUUCAAAGUUAUAAUUUACUAACGUUCCUUUACUGUUAACUUUGUACUUUUGGCAUAACUAGAAUCCAAUAUGCUGCUCUAUCUAAACUAAAACAAGAAAUAUAUCACUCCUUCUAUAUCACUCACCAAUUUUAUGCUUAUUUAUAGCGAAUAUCUGAAUCGUCAUAUAAAAUUUCAAAACUUUCAGAAUGUGGCUAAAAAACACAUAUUUCUAUCUACUUUCAAUUAUUGCUCUUUUAUAUAUAUUAAUUUAUAUUUGCUAUUAUUUUUAUUAAUAUGUACGAACUAUACAUAAGAAGAUUAUAGGAAAAGAACACAUGAUAGGUCAAAUUUCUUAUUGUCUAAAGGACAGCAGUUUUAAGAUUCAGUACAUUGUGUAUCAGUUCCAUAUUACCAAAAUUAUUCUUAUAUUUGAUUCCGAAGUUAAACAUGUUUUUUCAUUGUCAUAAAAAUUUUCAAAAUAUUUCUCGUCAUGAUAUUAAAAUAUUGCUUGUCUUAAUAAUGUUACCUUUCAUUUUUACAAAACUUAAAACUCGAUUUAUCAGUUUUUAAGAAAUUUAUGUAUAUCUGUAGUAUUGUAACGUCAACAAAUAUCUCCAACCGACUCAGGAAACUUGAACCGCCUUGCACACGACACCGACUCCCAAAACAAAGGAAUAUGAAUUCGGCACGUAGGCAUAAGAUAAACGAACAUCUAAAAGGACUGGGUCUUGAUCGAGGCUUCAGUCUUUCAGUAACGGUCUAAUCUAACACUUGUAAUCUUAUUAUAGAGUAAAGGUAUCUCGAACUCUGGUUCAAGAAUCCAACAUUUUUUUAUUAUUAUUUUCCUGUCAUUUUUACGUGACAGUAUCGUGGACGAAAGGCCUAAGAGAUAUCGGGCGAACUAUAAACAAUGUCGCGAGAAAGCCGAAGUGCCGACAAGCCCAACAAUGUAUCGUCGAUCCUUCAAUCGAAAAAGCUUGCGUGACCCUGGCCAGGAGCGGUUGCGGAACACGUGCGUGGUGGGGCUAAGAAAAAAGACAAAGGGAUGCUAAGGGAGAAAGACGAAUUCACAGUUAGAGUGUCAGUUGAGAAAUCAAAGAGUGUGAAUCGAGAAGUCAGAGAGUGCGAAUUGCAUUGUCGAGAUAGUGUUGCUAGUGUUGUCGAGAGAAUGUGGUCCGCGUAAAAGAGAGCGUUGAAACCGUAGUGACGAGAGUUGUAAAUUAAUUGCAGCUGUCUAAAUUAUAAUACGUUAAUGUGAUUAGUUCACGUUAAACAACCAUCGUUUCCUGUUUAAUCAACAUCUGUUUAAUCCAUUUAUUAUGAAUAAACUAAUUGUAGUAAAGAUCUGUGGAGAUUAGGUUAUGUUAGAUAGCGAUUUAAUAACACGGAUGAAAAGUUUCUGUCGCAAUCGUCGAGUAUAUUUGAAAUAAAUAAAUAGACGUACACUGCGUCGUAAAUAUAACAAAUAGUUUGAAAUAAAUACUUGGUAUAAUUUGUCGCGAAGAUACUCUUUAAGCGCUGUUGAUCUCUAUCGAUACUCUCUUGAUACUAUUCGCCCGAGAUCGCGUCUGUUUAUUUAUACUGGUCGGGGGAGAAUCGGAAAAUUCGAAUUCGUCCUUACUCGACGGUUGCACGUAGCUGCGACAUUGUUUUUCCCGGAGUUUACUUGUUCUUACAUUACUUGUAUUCUAACGGUCUUGAUACUCCGAGACAAAACAACAACAUGAUUUGAAUUGUCCUCAAACUCAUGUGCCGCUACAGAUCCUACAAAUCUAACAGAUUAUUUUCAUGAAUCAUACAGUGAUUUUGAAUUAAAAACUGUUCAAUUUAUUACUACUUCGUUUGGUUCUAUUGCUUUCUAUUUUAUAUGAAAUAAAUUAAUUCAUUUUUAUAAGUGCCUCCUUUAUAAAUAGGCUAUGAAUGUUGAAGUAAAUUCAUAUGUGCAAUAGAGCUUAAGUAUCGUGGAGAAAUAAACGACGACUUUAUUCUAAAUAGAAUACAUAGAAAAGUUAUGUUAAGAUUGUGGAAAAGUUCUACGAGUCUCUUUCAAAUGUGAAUUGAAUUCACUCGUCAUGGGUGCACCUACGCGACUGCACUCCGUGGCGGAAAAUAAUUUGCCGCUUUCGUGGUUACGUUCAAACGAUAUUAAAUCGUUCGUCGAUCGAUGGUCGACCGACUGAUUCGACGCUGAACAAUUUGAACUUUAACCCUUCCGCUAAGGGCAGCUUCUUCGCCGGCACUCUCGCUAAACGAGCCGCCGCGUCAAAACAGUGCACGGUGCGCGAGAAAAAUCUCAGUAGCCGCGUUUACGCCUCACUACAAACCGAGCUACUCUGACGGUGUUUUUCGAAGAAAAAAGCUUUCUUACAGAGAAAACAGAAUAUUUAUAACUUCUUAACACACUCACUUUUAAUUAAAAUUUGGAAAACAAAUAACAUUACAGAAUAUAAUAAUAUGAUAUGAUAUAAUAUAAUUGUAUGAUACUAAUAGCUUUCAAUAAUAGUAUUGCGUGUAGUAUUUUUUGAAAUACUACAUGGUGUUACAUAAAUACUAUAUGAUGUUACACAUAGGCUAACAUCGUAAAUCUGGCGCUGGCAUCGCGAUUCGCUCCACAGUUACCAUCAAUCGAUUAUGAUCGAUAACACACUUCGGUUUUUUAAUAAUUUUUUGUGUGCGAUGAUGACGUUUCGUCUCAACCAAUUCUUCAUUGUGGAAAGAGGACAACAUAUAUAUUGCCCUCUUGUUACACCAUCUUAUUGUUAAUAAAAGGCUUGAGAAUGUACAAUACUCGUCAAUAGGCGGCAUCUUACGCAGAGCAACUGUAGUCGCCCGUAGUAGCGAAAAGGUUAAAGCUUCUCGAAUAGUCUGUCUUGGGUCGAUACGGGCAAUGGUCUAAGAAGAUAGUGGAAAACUGACACUCGAAGUCGUUACUCGAGUGUUGUUCUAUUUGUGUACCAAUUUCUGUACCAAUCUAUCGUAUUACAAAGGAAAGAAUCAGGCAAAAUGAAAACGCAUUCUGUUGGAUAUGAAAUAAUUAUAUUACUUGCGAAAAUAAGUUGUCGAUCAAUUCAUUGAUAUGAAGUUAAAUAAAGCCAAUUGGAUACGAAAGAUGGGAAAGAAAAUAGGAUCAAUAUAAGAUCUGGAAAGAAGUAAUAAACUACCAGGUAUAAAAUACUCAUUUUCAGAAAUACUAUGAUACUUGUUACACGAACUGUAGUGUGUAGUGUUUUGUAAACGCCUCAAUAUCAGCUGCAAGCAUAUGUUAUAAAAAAACAGGUUCAUAUUUAAAAUUGUUUGUGUUAAUAUGACCUUCACAGGACCGUUUCAACGUCGUUGCAAGGUCAAAUAGACAAAGGUAUAGUAUGCCACUUUCGAUAUCAUACCUAAACUUUAUAUCUGAAACAUUUCAUUCAUUUCGGAAUGUUUCAGUAUUUCGAGUUAAAUCAGUCAUACUGCACAAGUUUGAAUUAAUUAUUAACAUAAUAUUUAUAUCUUUCGUUAUAAACAUUUCUAAUAUAUCAGAAAAGAAAAUUUUAAUACGUAUACAAAAUGUCUAUAUUCCUUUAUUUUUACUUAAAACCUGGUAGACAUUUUUUCUUAUUAA